UUGCAGCUAUUUUAUUUUGCUUUUACAUAAUUUCAUUCUGAGAUAAAGAGUUUCUACCAAUUUAUCACUUAUCCAGGAAAAGACUGUAUAAAGGAAAAGACUACCAUUUGUCCAGAAACAAACUGGUUAUCACACUUUAGAAAACCAUGGGCCCAAUGACUGUCUCAAAAGGAACACAGACCUUUGGCAUCAUUGUACCGGUGAGAAGAAACAUUAGAAGCAGUCAAGAGACCAGCAAGUGGGUCCUCUAGGGAUGAGGAGGCAUCUGAAUAGACUGGGUUGUACUCCUAUGUUCUGACUGCAACCCAUCCAUGGAGUCAAGUGUGGAAUUUUCCAUUUGUGGUGUCAUGUCAGCACUCCAAAAGUUUCAGAUUUUGGAGCACUUUGAAUUUCAG
rnacentral:lncRNA from 1 species